rnacentral:rRNA from 1 species
GACGAACGCUGGCGGCGUGCCUAAUACAUGCAAGUCGAACGCAGUGGGGACGGGUGAGUAACACGUGGGUAACCUCCCAUCAGAGGGGAUAACACUUGGAAACAGGUGCUAAAACGAUACUGAUGGAUGGACCCGCGGUGAAUUAGCUAGUUGGGGAGGUAAAGGCUCACCAAGGCCACGAUGCAUAGACGUCCUGAGAGGGUGACCGGCAACACGGGGACUGAAAAACGGCCCAGACUCCUACGGUAGGCAGCAGUAGGGAAUCUUCGGCAAUGGACGAAAGUCUGACCGAGCAACGCCGCGUGAGUGAAGAAGGUUUUCGGAUCGUAAAACUCUGUUGUUAGAUAAGCGGUAUCUAACCAGAAAGCCACGGCUAACUACGUGCCAGCAGCCGCGGUAAUAC